UCUGGUGGUCUUUGGCCAUCCGAGUUGUAAUCUAGAGAAGUGUUACCCGCGUUGGACCGUGUACAAGUCUCCUGGAAUGGAGCGUCAUAGAGGGUGAGAAUCCCGUCUUUGACACGGACUACCAAGGCUUUGUGGUGCGCUCUCAACGAGUCGAGUUGUUUGGGAAUGCAGCUCAAAAUGGGUGGUAAAUUCCAUCUAAAGCUAAAUACAGGCGAGAGACCGAUAGCGAACAAGUACCGUGAGGGAAAGAUGAAAAGAACUUUGGAAAGAGAGUUAAACAGUACGUGAAAUUGCUGAAAGGGAAACGCUGGAAGUCAGUCGCGUUGGCUAGGAAUCAACCUUGCAUUUUGCAGGGCUUACUUCUUAGUUGACGGGCCAACAUCAAUUUUGAUUGCUGGAAAAAGGCCUAGGAAAUGUGGCACCUUCGGGUGUGUUAUAGUCCUGGGUUGUAUACAGUGAU
rnacentral:rRNA from 1 species